rnacentral:rRNA from 1 species
GACGAACGCUGGCGGCGUGCUUAACACAUGCAAGUCGAACGGAAAGGCCUUGCACUUGUGGGGUGCUCGAGUGGCGAACGGGUGAGUAACACGUGAGUAACCUGUCCCUGACUUUGGGAUAACUUAAGGAAACUGGGGCUAAUAUCGGACAGGAGCACCUGCUGCAUGGUGGGGGUUGGAAAGUUUCGGCGGUUGGGGAUGGACUCGCGGCUUAUCAGCUUGUUGGUGGGGUAGUGGCUUACCAAUGCUUCGACGGGUAGCCAGCCUGAGAGGGUGACCGGCCACAUUGGGACUGAGAUACGGCCCAGACUCCUACGGGAGGCAGCAGUGGGGAAUAUUGCACAAUGGGCGGAAGCCUGAUACAGCGACGCCGCGUGCGAGAUGACGGCCUUCGGGUUGUAAACCGCUUUCGCCUGUGACGAAGCGUGAGUGACGGUAAUGGGUAAAGAAGCACCGGCUAACUACGUG